rnacentral:rRNA from 1 species
CGAGGAAUCUUGGUCAAUGGGCGAAAGCCUGAACCAGCGACGCCGCGUGGAGGACGAAGGCUCUCGGGUCGUAAACUCCUUUUGCCGGGGAAGAGCAGAUGACGGUACCCGGCGAAUAAGCCACGGCUAACUACGUGCCAGCAGCCGCGGUAAUACGUAGGUGGCGAGCGUUGUCCGGAUUUACUGGGCGUAAAGCGCGCGUAGGCGGCUUGCUCAGUCCUGCGUGAAAGGUCCCGGCCCAACCGAGACACUGCGCCGGAUACUGGCAGGCUUGAGGGCAGCAGAGGCCAACGGAAUUCCCGGUGGAGUGGUGAAAUGCGUAGAUAUCGGGAGGAACACCAGUGGCGAAGGCGGUUGGCUGGGCUGUCCCUGACACUGAGGCGCGAAAGCGUGGGGAGCGAACCGGAUUAGAUACCCGCGUAGUCC